GAAAGGCGCUUUCGGGUGUCGCUGAUGGAUGGACCCGCGGUGCAUUAGCUAGUUGGUGAGGUAACGGCUCACCAAGGCGACGAUGCAUAGCCGACCUGAGAGGGUGAUCGGCCACAUUGGGACUGAGACACGGCCCAAACUCCUACGGGAGGCAGCAGUAGGGAAUCUUCGGCAAUGGACGAAAGUCUGACCGAGCAACGCCGCGUGAGUGAAGAAGGUUUUCGGAUCGUAAAACUCUGUUGUUAGAGAAGAACAAGGAUGAGAGUAACUGUUCAUCCCUUGACGGUAUCUAACCAGAAAGCCACGGCUAACUACGUGCCAGCAGCCGCGGUAAUACGUAGGUGGCAAGCGUUGUCCGGAUUUAUUGGGCGUAAAGUGAGCGCAGGCGGUUUCUUAAGUCUGAUGUGAAAGCCCCCGGCUCAACCGGGGAGGGUCAUUGGAAACUGGGAGACUUGAGUGCAGAAGAGGAGAGUGGAAUUCCAUGUGUAGCGGUGAAAUGCGUAGAUAUAUGGAGGAACACCAGUGGCGAAGGCGGCUCUCUGGUCUGUAACUGACGCUGAGGCUCGAAAGCGUGGGGAGCAAACAGGAUUAGAUACCCUGGUAGUCCACGCCGU
rnacentral:rRNA from 1 species